rnacentral:lncRNA from 1 species
UGUUUCCUGCACAAAUCUUGUAGCUCUUUCUUGGGUAGCUUGCAAAUCAAAUUUCCACUGUCCUUUGUCUUCUUCUCAUUAAAUAAGUUUAUCUGCUCCCCGCAUCAGCUCUUAUGCUUGCUCGUUUAAGAGACCUUUACCAGGGCAAAAUCAUAUGACUCUGGGUGAGUAAAUGUUGUCAAUGUGGAUACUUCCUUCUAAAGAAAAUAUAGGAAUAGUUAACACUGAGUUUAUGGUUUCCUUUUCCUAAGGGCAAUCAAACACAUCUAACACAGGCUAACAAAUUGCUUCAGAAACCAACACAACUUUUGUCAUAGUUCUACCAAAAGUUUCUUAUAAACUCCUUUUUUAAAGUGGUUCCUAAAAAUAUCUUACAAGUUAGAAAACACCAUGUUCUAUUUAGUAUGAAAUAGAAGUUACUAAUUUUUUAUCAACCUUCAAUCCCUUCGAAUUGGUGAGAUUACAAGAUGCACUCAAAAUCCAAAACCAAGUCCAGCGGCUUCUUUAAACUAGAUAUAAGUUUAGACAAUUUACUCACCCAUUAUGUACUAGAGGCACCAAAUAAAGUAACUACUCAACAUUUUACAAACUACUAAAGAACAAGAAGCGCCAAGACACGUACAAGCUUUGUGCUUGUUAGUCAUUACCUUCUCUAUUGAACUCCUCCAACAGAGGCAAAGCCAGGAUAUUAAAUUUAUGGGUUCUGAACUAGCCAUCGAACUCAUAGCUCGUUUAGUUAUUGGGUUCACAACAAAAAAGUAAUACAUAUUUAAUAGAUUUUUAAUACAAAUACAGGGUUUAAACAAAAGUUAUUGGGUUCAUACCCUAACUGAUAUGGUAGCUCCAGUGGCGAAACUAGGAUUUUUCCCAAGGGUAUUCAAAUUUGGAAGAAGUGAAAAAACAUUCCCGACAAAGAGUGUUCAAUAUGUGUUAUAUACCUCUAAAAUGUAAUAUUUUACCUAUAUACAUAGUGCAAUUUUUCAACAAAGGGUGGUCAGUUGACCGCCCUUGUGACCAUGUGGCUUCGCCACUGGGUAGCUCCCCCUCCAAGUCAAAUGAGAAUAGGUAAAGUACCCACCAUAUACAGUCAAACCUCUCUUAAUAGCAUCAAUUAUCCCAACAAUUUUAGCUACUGUAGUGAAUUAUUGUUAUAGAAAAUAUAUAAUAUAAGAUAACAUGAAAAAUCAGCUCCAGCUAAACUUGGUUGUUAUAGUGAAAUAAUGUUAUAACAGAUGGUUGUUAUAAAGAGAUUUAAUUGUAAUAUAAAAGCUCACAAUUGUAAGGAAGUAAUACCGUAAGUAACAUAACAAAUAAUCAGUUGAACAUAUCAAAAGAAGCCAAACAAAACAGUCAAAUUUGGUAUACUUUUCAAUCAAAAUAAGACACAAUGCUUUAGUACUAAUCCCUCUGUUUAAAAAAGAUUAACACUAUUUCCUUAUUAGUCUAUUCCAAAAAGAUUGACAUCUUUCAAUAUUUCCUUAAUAGGAACCAUUUAUAGUCACACAAUGGUAUGGUAGGUUUCACACCACAGAUUUAAAAAUGUUAACGGUCACACAAAUGUAGGCCACAUAUCUCAAAAGUAUUCCGUUCUUUAUUAAAGUUUGUGUCAAGUUCUAACACAAUUUUUUUCGAAACAGAGGAAGUCAUUAAUAAGUAAAUCAGUAGAAAAAGACAAAAAUAGUACUAUUCGAAAUUCAAAUCGACGAAAAAGCGCCAAAACUUAUUACUACUACUGCAAAAGGUAAAAACGAGUGAAAUACAGAGACUUUGGAUCUGUUACCUUCUUGUAGUAUCAACAAAUGGAGAGGCCUUGAGAAAUUAAACCGGAUUUGUCAGCUGGAAGUUUCUAGAAAUGGGAAUG